GAUGAACGCUGGCGGCGUGCCUAAUACAUGCAAGUCGAGCGAACGGACGAGAAGCUUGCUUCUCUGAUGUUAGCGGCGGACGGGUGAGUAACACGUGGAUAACCUACCUAUAAGACUGGGAUAACUUCGGGAAACCGGAGCUAAUACCGGAUAAUAUUUUGAACCGCAUGGUUCAAAAGUGAAAGACGGUCUUGCUGUCACUUAUAGAUGGAUCCGCGCUGCAUUAGCUAGUUGGUAAGGUAACGGCUUACCAAGACAACGAUGCAUAGCCGACCUGAGAGGGUGAUCGGCCACACUGGAACUGAGACACGGUCCAGACUCCUACGGGAGGCAGCAGUAGGGAAUCUUCCGCAAUGGGCGAAAGCCUGACGGAGCAACGCCGCGUGAGUGAUGAAGGUCUUCGGAUCGUAAAACUCUGUUAUUAGGGAGGAACAUAUGUGUAAGUAACUGUGCACAUCUUGACGGUACCUAAUCAGAAAGCCACGGCUAACUACGUG
rnacentral:rRNA from 1 species